GGGUUGUGAGGUUAAGCGACUAAGCGUACACGGUGGAUGCCCUGGCAGUCAGAGGCGAUGAAGGACGUGCUAAUCUGCGAUAAGCGUCGGUAAGGUGAUAUGAACCGUUAUAACCGGCGAUUUCCGAAUGGGGAAACCCAGUGUGUUUCGACACACUAUCAUUAACUGAAUUCAUAGGUUAAUGAGGCGAACCGGGGGAACUGAAACAUCUAAGUACCCCGAGGAAAAGAAAUCAACCGAGAUUCCCCCAGUAGCGGCGAGCGAACGGGGAGCAGCCCAGAGCCUGAAUCAGUGUGUGUGUUAGUGGAAGCGUCUGGAAAGGCGCGCGAUACAGGGUGACAGCCCCGUACACAAAAAUGCACAUGCUGUGAGCUCGAUGAGUAGGGCGGGACACGUGGUAUCCUGUCUGAAUAUGGGGGGACCAUCCUCCAAGGCUAAAUACUCCUGACUGACCGAUAGUGAACCAGUACCGUGAGGGAAAGGCGAAAAGAACCCCGGCGAGGGGAGUGAAAAAGAACCUGAAACCGUGUACGUACAAGCAGUGGGAGCACGCUUAGGCGUGUGACUGCGUACCUUUUGUAUAAUGGGUCAGCGACUUAUAUUCUGUAGCAAGGUUAACCGAAUAGGGGAGCCGAAGGGAAACCGAGUCUUAACUGGGCGUUAAGUUGCAGGGUAUAGACCCGAAACCCGGUGAUCUAGCCAUGGGCAGGUUGAAGGUUGGGUAACACUAACUGGAGGACCGAACCGACUAAUGUUGAAAAAUUAGCGGAUGACUUGUGGCUGGGGGUGAAAGGCCAAUCAAACCGGGAGAUAGCUGGUUCUCCCCGAAAGCUAUUUAGGUAGCGCCUCGUGAAUUCAUCUCCGGGGGUAGAGCACUGUUUCGGCAAGGGGGUCAUCCCGACUUACCAACCCGAUGCAAACUGCGAAUACCGGAGAAUGUUAUCACGGGAGACACACGGCGGGUGCUAACGUCCGUCGUGAAGAGGGAAACAACCCAGACCGCCAGCUAAGGUCCCAAAGUCAUGGUUAAGUGGGAAACGAUGUGGGAAGGCCCAGACAGCCAGGAUGUUGGCUUAGAAGCAGCCAUCAUUUAAAGAAAGCGUAAUAGCUCACUGGUCGAGUCGGCCUGCGCGGAAGAUGUAACGGGGCUAAACCAUGCACCGAAGCUGCGGCAGCGACGCUUAUGCGUUGUUGGGUAGGGGAGCGUUCUGUAAGCCUGUGAAGGUGUGCUGUGAGGCAUGCUGGAGGUAUCAGAAGUGCGAAUGCUGACAUAAGUAACGAUAAAGCGGGUGAAAAGCCCGCUCGCCGGAAGACCAAGGGUUCCUGUCCAACGUUAAUCGGGGCAGGGUGAGUCGACCCCUAAGGCGAGGCCGAAAGGCGUAGUCGAUGGGAAACAGGUUAAUAUUCCUGUACUUGGUGUUACUGCGAAGGGGGGACGGAGAAGGCUAUGUUGGCCGGGCGACGGUUGUCCCGGUUUAAGCGUGUAGGCUGGUUUUCCAGGCAAAUCCGGAAAAUCAAGGCUGAGGCGUGAUGACGAGGCACUACGGUGCUGAAGCAACAAAUGCCCUGCUUCCAGGAAAAGCCUCUAAGCAUCAGGUAACAUCAAAUCGUACCCCAAACCGACACAGGUGGUCAGGUAGAGAAUACCAAGGCGCUUGAGAGAACUCGGGUGAAGGAACUAGGCAAAAUGGUGCCGUAACUUCGGGAGAAGGCACGCUGAUAUGUAGGUGAAGUCCCUUGCGGAUGGAGCUGAAAUCAGUCGAAGAUACCAGCUGGCUGCAACUGUUUAUUAAAAACACAGCACUGUGCAAACACGAAAGUGGACGUAUACGGUGUGACGCCUGCCCGGUGCCGGAAGGUUAAUUGAUGGGGUUAGCGGUAACGCGAAGCUCUUGAUCGAAGCCCCGGUAAACGGCGGCCGUAACUAUAACGGUCCUAAGGUAGCGAAAUUCCUUGUCGGGUAAGUUCCGACCUGCACGAAUGGCGUAAUGAUGGCCAGGCUGUCUCCACCCGAGACUCAGUGAAAUUGAACUCGCUGUGAAGAUGCAGUGUACCCGCGGCAAGACGGAAAGACCCCGUGAACCUUUACUAUAGCUUGACACUGAACAUUGAGCCUUGAUGUGUAGGAUAGGUGGGAGGCUUUGAAGUGUGGACGCCAGUCUGCAUGGAGCCGACCUUGAAAUACCACCCUUUAAUGUUUGAUGUUCUAACGUUGACCCGUGAUCCGGGUUGCGGACAGUGUCUGGUGGGUAGUUUGACUGGGGCGGUCUCCUCCUAAAGAGUAACGGAGGAGCACGAAGGUUGGCUAAUCCUGGUCGGACAUCAGGAGGUUAGUGCAAUGGCAUAAGCCAGCUUGACUGCGAGCGUGACGGCGCGAGCAGGUGCGAAAGCAGGUCAUAGUGAUCCGGUGGUUCUGAAUGGAAGGGCCAUCGCUCAACGGAUAAAAGGUACUCCGGGGAUAACAGGCUGAUACCGCCCAAGAGUUCAUAUCGACGGCGGUGUUUGGCACCUCGAUGUCGGCUCAUCACAUCCUGGGGCUGAAGUAGGUCCCAAGGGUAUGGCUGUUCGCCAUUUAAAGUGGUACGCGAGCUGGGUUUAGAACGUCGUGAGACAGUUCGGUCCCUAUCUGCCGUGGGCGCUGGAGAACUGAGGGGGGCUGCUCCUAGUACGAGAGGACCGGAGUGGACGCAUCACUGGUGUUCGGGUUGUCAUGCCAAUGGCACUGCCCGGUAGCUAAAUGCGGAAGAGAUAAGUGCUGAAAGCAUCUAAGCACGAAACUUGCCCCGAGAUGAGUUCUCCCUGACUCCUUGAGAGUCCUGAAGGAACGUUGAAGACGACGACGUUGAUAGGCCGGGUGUGUAAGCGCAGCGAUGCGUUGAGCUAACCGGUACUAAUGAACCGUGAGGCUUAACCUUACAACGCCGAAGCUGUU
rnacentral:rRNA from 1 species